rnacentral:rRNA from 1 species
GACGAACGCUGGCGGCGUGCUUAACACAUGCAAGUCGAACGGAAAGGCCCUGCUUGCAGGGUACUCGAGUGGCGAACGGGUGAGUAACACGUGGGUGAUCUGCCCUGCACUUCGGGAUAAGCCUGGGAAACUGGGUCUAAUACCGGAUAGGAGCCAUUUUUAGUGUGAUGGUUGGAAAGUUUUUUCGGUGUAGGAUGAGCUCGCGGCCUAUCAGCUUGUUGGUGGGGUAAUGGCCUACCAAGGCGGCGACGGGUAGCCGGCCUGAGAGGGUGGACGGCCACAUUGGGACUGAGAUACGGCCCAGACUCCUACGGGGGGCAGCAGUGGGGAAUAUUGCACAAUGGGGGCAAGCCUGAUGCAGCGACGCCGCGUGGGGGAUGACGGCCUUCGGGUUGUAAACUCCUUUCGCUAGGGACGAAGCUUUUUGUGACGGUACCUAGAUAAGAAGCACCGGCUAACUACGUG